UAAACACACAUAUCUUGGCCAAACUGAAUU
rnacentral:piRNA from 1 species